rnacentral:rRNA from 1 species
AUACGGAGGGGGCUAGCGUUGUUCGGAAUUACUGGGCGUAAAGCGUACGCAGGCGGAUAUUUAAGUUAGGUGUGAAAUCCCAGGGCUCAACCCUGGAACUGCACUUAAAACUGGGUAUCUAGAGUUAUGGAGAGGUAAGUGGAAUUCCUAGUGUAGAGGUGAAAUUCGUAGAUAUUAGGAGGAACACCAGAGGCGAAGGCGGCUUACUGGACAUAUACUGACGCUGAGGUACGAAAGUGUGGGGAGCAAACGGGAUUAGAAACCCUUGUAGUCC